GCCCGGUUAGCUCAGUUGGUAGAGCAUCACACUUUUAAUCUGAGGGCCAUGGGUUCGAGUCCCAUAUCGGGCU
rnacentral:tRNA from 1 species